GAUGAACGCUGGCGGCGUGCCUAAUACAUGCAAGUCGAGCGAACAGACGAGGAGCUUGCUCCUCUGACGUUAGCGGCGGACGGGUGAGUAACACGUGGAUAACCUACCUAUAAGACUGGGAUAACUUCGGGAAACCGGAUCUAAUACCGGAUAAUAUAUUGAACCGCAUGGUUCAAUAGUGAAAGACGGUUUUGCUGUCACUUAUAGAUGGAUCCGCGCCGCAUUAGCUAGUUGGUAAGGUAACGGCUUACCAAGGCAACGAUGCGUAGCCGACCUGAGAGGGUGAUCGGCCACACUGGAACUGAGACACGGUCCAGACUCCUACGGGAGGCAGCAGUGGGGAAUCUUCCACAAUGGGCGAAAGCCUGACGGAGCAACGCCGCGUGAGUGAUGAAGGUCUUCGGAUCGUAAAACUCUGUUAUUAGGGAAGAACAAAAGUGUAAGUAACUAUGCACGUCUUGACGGUACCUAAUCAGAAAGCCACGGCUAACUACGUG
rnacentral:rRNA from 1 species